rnacentral:lncRNA from 1 species
UUAGCACUUUUCAUUUUAAUCAGUAAUUCUAUAUAUUCAUGAUUAGUUAUUUAUUGUGUGAUUUACUUAGCUUACAUAUUGUUUCUUUGUUUGAUUCUAGUGUUUGACAGAGCUUUAUUAGUUUAUAUUUUGUGAUACUCAGUGCCUCCAGAAGAGGGCAAUGUUGAUCUUUAAAUAUUCACGCAAACUCUUCACCGUUUUAGAUCCUUAAGUGACUCGGGUUUGCAAUUUAAACAUAUCUACUGUAUAUGAUGCUGUUAUAGUUAAUGUUUGACUAACACAGAAUGCAUUUUAUAUAUAUAUAUAUAUAUAUAUAUAUAUAUAUAUAUAUAUAUAUAUAUAUAUAUAUAUAUAUUGACAAAUUACUAAUUCCAGUGCUGUUAUAUAGUGCAAAACAAUUUUAUAUACGCACAUUUGUCUAUUAUCAUUGUGUAGGCAAUGCACUCUCGGGCUUUGAUCUGACCUCGGCUUGUGAAGAAAUUAACAUUUUAAAACCGUAUUAGCGUGAUGGAAACACAGGAGGCACUGAACUCUGAUCUGGAAUGCAAUAAAGAGAAUUAUUUAGCUGAGGAUUCAGUCCUCCUGGGCUCUAAUAUUCAUUUCUCAUCCUGUGUCCUACAGGAUAAUGCCAAGCGCAUCAAAGCAAAUACUGCGCAUAUGCCAUUCAUUAUGAAUUAAUGCUUGCUUUUUAAUAGAAUUAUAUUGAGUUGCAAACUAGAAAGUCUAUAACGGCAUCCACUGUUUCUGGAAACUAUUAGAAUUAACAGUUUAGCCUAAAAUGAAACAUCCAUCAUCAUUUACUCACACUUAUAGUUUUCUAAAUCUAUUAUUUAUUUUAUGAAACGCAAAACAAGAUUGAGCUGUUCUCAGUGAAUGUAGAAAAAAGCAUGAACAUUUUGCUGAACAGCUGGCUUUCACCGAGUGGAGAAGAGCAGCUUAGAUAUUUUAUUGUUUGUGUUCCAGAGUAGAAAGGAACUCGUAUGAAGACUGAGGGCAAAUGAUGACAACAGGUAGUUUUACUGUAAUGUUCUAUUACAAUGUUAUCUGUACUGUUUGUAUGUACCAAAUGCUAUUUUAUAGUCCAUUACACUUCUAUGUAUAUUUAAUCACCCAUGUCUAUAGGACACUGGGAGCUUAUAUUCACUUGUAAGAACUGCUUUCAGGGAACAAAAUGAAUUUAGACUUGAUUAAAUAAUAUUGUCUCUUUUGGAAAGAUUUUUGGAGGAUCAGAUGUAGCAGUCUUGUUAUUAAAAGGAAGAAUUUUCAAGUCAAUCAGAUCAACUUGCUUUUAUGGUUUCCUCAAAAUAACAAGACUGGACAGAGCCAAACCAGUCUGCCAAGCCGGAUGCUGACGUGAAGGUUUCCUCACAGAUGCUCCUGUGAAAUAGGGGUGAAGCUUUGUCUGUGUGCACUAUAUUAAUUUACAAGAUUUCGAAAGAAUGGAUUAUAAUUGAUCAGAUAGCAUUACAGGCCAGUGUUGCAAUGCUUUACCACAAACCGCUACGAGGAACAAAAAAUCAGAUGACUGAUUGAAGCAACCCUGCGCCGUUUGAAGGGCCUGCCUUUUUUUCUGUAAACAGUAUUUAUUUCUGGCUACAGGAGCUUUCCAAAGAAUAUACCAAAACCUGUGUCAGGACCAGUAUGUAAUCAUAUGCAAUGACCCAGAUUUUAUGAUUUGAACAUUUAUCUUUAAAACUGAAUCAUCAAAGCUUUGAGAGCCAUUUACUGCUUUUUUGAAGGAAGACUUGCGCUCUCCUUCUCUGCAUGACGCCAACACUUUUAGAUUUUUGGACGAGGAGUAAUGUAUACAAAGUCCUGCAGCUGUAACAGAUUCUCCUGUGAUGGGAGAAUUUUCCAAAUAAAUCGUUUAUCAUGGAAUGUGCCAAACCUUAAGAGCGGGGUUGGGUUGAAACAGCUAAAUGUUUUGUCAAUCUGAGAUCGGUGUGAGAAGAACAUAUCUGGCUUGAGUCUCCUCUCGUGUGUUAUGACAGUGGAAGAAAAUAGUCCCUGCAGGACGUGUCAUGUAUUCUCAUAUAGAACCUAGCAGAAGUUUUUCUGUUGGUUCUGGAAUAAUCCCUAACCACUAUAUAAACCCCUAAAUCAAAUUAAAUUGGUUGAUAAGAAUGUUUUUUAGGCCCCAAAGAAAAGUCUUUCAAGGAGGAAUAUCAUUCCAAUACCAAACAAAUGUUGUUCCAGGAAUGCCUCCUACUAGCUAAAUCUUGGUAACCUACCCAAAACAAUAUGUGACCCUGGAGCACAAAACCAGCCAUAAGUCACUGGGGUAUAUUUGAAGCAAUAGCCAAAAAUAGAUUGUAUGGGUAAAAAAAAAAAAAAAAAAAAUAUAUAUAUAUAUAUAUAUAUAUAUAUAUAUAUAUAUAUAUAUAUAUAUAUAUAUAUAUAUAUAAAAAGUUGGAUGAAAAAAGGAAUGGAAUAAUUU